rnacentral:rRNA from 1 species
UGGGGAAUAUUGCACAAUGGGCGCAAGCCUGAUGCAGCGACGCCGCGUGGGGGAUGACGGCCUUCGGGUUGUAAACUCCUUUCGCUAGGGACGAAGCUUUUUGUGACGGUACCUAGAUAAGAAGCACCGGCUAACUACGUGCCAGCAGCCGCGGUAAUACGUAGGGUGCGAGCGUUGUCCGGAAUUACUAGGCGUAAAGGGCUCGUAGGUGGUUUGUCGCGUCGUCUGUGAAAUUCCGGGGCUUAACUCCGGGCGUGCAGGCGAUACGGGCAUAACUUGAGUACUGUAGGGGUAACUGGAAUUCCUGGUGUAGCGGUGAAAUGCGCAGAUAUCAGGAGGAACACCGAUGGCGAAGGCAGGUUACUGGGCAGUUACUGACGCUGAGGAGCGAAAGCAUGGGUAGCGAACAGG